rnacentral:rRNA from 1 species
GACAGAGGGGGCAAGCGUUGCUCGGAAUCACUGGGCGUAAAGGGCGCGUAGGCGGGAGCUCAAGUCGGUCGUGAAAUCUCCGGGCUCAACCCGGAGGAGUCGGCCGAAACUGGGUUUCUUGAGGGGAGGCAGAGGAGUCUGGAAUUCCCGGUGUAGCGGUGAAAUGUGUAGAGAGUCGGGAGGAACACCGGUGGCGAAGGCGGGACUCUGGGCCUACCCUGACGCUGAGGCGCGAAGGCGUGGGGAGCAAACGGGG